ACAAAUAUUAUGGAAGUAAAGUAACUAUAGGUUGGGGCACUGAAGGGUGGAUAGAAGCUCAUCCAGAGAAAGGGUGUAGAGAGGAUUUUCUAGGUAGAGGACAGGAUGCGAUGAGAGAACAUAGGCUGCCAGACAUUGUCUUACCUUAGCAACAUCUCUUUGUGUUUUGUUUUCUUUCUAAGAGGAAGAGUGAGGCACCAUGGGAGAACCUCAGGUGCUCUGGGUUCAAGCCUUCUGUUAUUUUCCACAUCAGUGGGAAGGUGUCCACAUGUUUUGAAGCCAAGGGACAUAUUACUUUACAGUAGAGGGAGAAAAGUUAGAGGAUGUUGGAAAAUGGAGAAUUGGAGCAUAGAGCCAGGAUAAGCAGACUGUGUUAUACAGCUCAUGGCAACUGCUCUUGGAGUCAUUGGGAGUAAUAUUCAUUAUCACAUAAGUUAAUGCUUUGGAUGAGUGCCUGUGACUCUUCUGCUUCUAGAAAGCCAAAUUGCCUAUCUUCCACAGACCUUCAAGAGACUUCUCCUCACAUGGAAGGGACCUGACGAAAGGCUUUGACCAGCACCUGCUUUUGCCUAGAGAAGGAAGGUUUGGUCAGCAGAGCUGGUGGCAGCAAGAGAAACAUCGGAGCACAGGAUCCAAGAAGUUAUGUGCAAUAUCCAGUCUUCCCAGUCUCAUUCUUGGGAAGAUUUCACAUGCCAGAAACCAGUCAUCUCGUCUUUAACAAAUGGGAUUUUUCAACCCAAAACGUGGUUUUAAAUUUGCACAUUUACUGAUAGGAUAAUCCGUGGGAAGAUGGGGUGAAGAGAAGCAAGUAUACAUUUCGCCAGAGGAAACCCCAUCUCUGGAUCAUGUUCAUUGCGGACAGCAGACAAACAGGGUCCCGUUCAAAAACAAUAAAUACCUCUCUCCGCUCUAAAGGUGUCGUGGAAAUGUCCCAGCUUAAAUGUCGCCUCUUCAAUGGAGUUCUUCCUUGACUGCCUCACGUAAUAGUAGUAAAACGUUCUCAGAUGGAUUGGGGUGCUGGUUACGCAGCUCAGUGAACAUACCAAAACCAGUUGAACUGGCCGCUGUGAAUGGGCGAGAUGUAAGCUGAGAUUUGCAUGCAGUCAAAAAAAAUUAAAUUGGCAAGAAUCCGAAAAAUCAAGGGCCUGGCGCAAGCUGACUUAUCAGGGAAAGCGGCACCCUCACACCAUCUUAAAAGCACCACAUCCUUGCUCUUCCUGCAAAGAACACACCAAGAGCAGAUGUCUCCUGGAACCCACGAGGCCCUUUCCCCAGAUUCUCUCAUCACUGUGUUAUUUCUCUCCAGUCUCAGACCCCUGGCUUCACCCUUUUUCUCCAUCCUCACUCCCCAUUCUGUGUGAAGACAGGGGCUUUUUGAACUUCAGAUUCUCACCAGAUUCUAGACUCUGCUCCCCCUGUCCCAGCAUUGGUAUCCCACUUAGAUUCAGAGGAGAAGCUCCACCUGCAUGGAAUCUGACAGGGAUCGGCUCAGUCUCCCAGCAAAGGGGUGAUAGAAUUCCUACCCCAACACUAGGAACUGCUAUAGAAGAUAAUUAUCUGUUACAGAAUGUCUUCUAGACAUUGUCUAAACAACCUGAGAAAAUGACUCUUUUAUUUUGUAAGAUCACAAAUCUCAUUUAACCGACCUUAGAUGAUGCUGGAAACAUGACAUAUUCUUGUG